rnacentral:lncRNA from 1 species
AUUUGAGGAAUUGGUUGCAUUGGUGGAGCUGGAGCUGCUGGUCCAUUCUGUUGGAGUCCUUGAGACCAUGAAAAAUUGGGGUGGUCUCUCCAUCCAGGGUUAUAUGUGUUGGAGUAUGGGUUGUAAUUUGAUGGCUUUCUCAUUACACCUAUGGCAUUGGCUUGAUCUGAGUAUGAGUCAUGGUCAUGUGGUUCUGUUGAUUUAGCAGUCGAUAACGAUGCUAUUUGUCGAGCAAGACCUUCAACCAUCUCCUUGACUUCUUUGAUUCCCGAAGUUGACUCGCCAAUGUGAACCUCAU